GGGUUGUGAGGUUAAGCGACUAAGCGUACACGGUGGAUGCCUAGGCAGUCAGAGGCGAUGAAGGGCGUGCUAAUCUGCGAUAAGCGUCGGUAAGCUGAUAUGAAGCGUUAUACCCGACGAUACCCGAAUGGGGAAACCCAGUGUGUUUCGACACACUAUCAUGACAUGAAUACAUAGUGUCAUGAGGCGAACCGGGGGAACUGAAACAUCUCAGUACCCCGAGGAAAAGAAAUCAACCGAGAUUCCCCCAGUAGCGGCGAGCGAACGGGGAGGAGCCCAGAACCUGAAUCAGUUUGUGUGUUAGUGGAAGCGUCUGGAAAGUCGCACAGUAAAGGGUGAUAGUCCCGUACACAAAAAUGCACAAGCUGUGAGUUCGAUGAGUAGGGCGGGACACGUGACAUCCUGUCUGAAUAUGGGGGGACCAUCCUCCAAGGCUAAAUACUCCUGACUGACCGAUAGUGAACCAGUACCGUGAGGGAAAGGCGAAAAGAACCCCGGCGAGGGGAGUGAAAUAGAACCUGAAACCGUGUACGUACAAGCAGUGGGAGCCUACUUGUUAGGUGACUGCGUACCUUUUGUAUAAUGGGUCAGCGACUUAUAUUCUGUAGCAAGGUUAACCGUAUAGGGGAGCCGCAGGGAAACCGAGUCUUAACUGGGCGUUAAGUUGCAGGGUAUAGACCCGAAACCCGGUGAUCUAGCCAUGGGCAGGUUGAAGGUUGGGUAACACUAACUGGAGGACCGAACCGACUAAUGUUGAAAAAUUAGCGGAUGACUUGUGGCUGGGGGUGAAAGGCCAAUCAAACCGGGAGAUAGCUGGUUCUCCCCGAAAGCUAUUUAGGUAGCGCCUCGUGAAUUCAUCUUCGGGGGUAGAGCACUGUUUCGGCUAGGGGGUCAUCCCGACUUACCAACCCGAUGCAAACUACGAAUACCGAAGAAUGUUAUCACGGGAGACACACGGCGGGUGCUAACGUUCGUCGUGAAGAGGGAAACAACCCAGACCGCCAGCUAAGGUCCCAAAGUCAUGGUUAAGUGGGAAACGAUGUGGGAAGGCACAGACAGCCAGGAUGUUGGCUUAGAAGCAGCCAUCAUUUAAAGAAAGCGUAAUAGCUCACUGGUCGAGUCGGCCUGCGCGGAAGAUGUAACGGGGCUAAACCAUGCACCGAAGCUGCGGCAGCGACACUUAGGUGUUGUUGGGUAGGGGAGCGUUCUGUAAGCCGUCGAAGGUGACCUGUGAGGGUUGCUGGAGGUAUCAGAAGUGCGAAUGCUGACAUAAGUAACGAUAAUGCGGGUGAAAAACCCGCACGCCGGAAGACCAAGGGUUCCUGUCCAACGUUAAUCGGGGCAGGGUGAGUCGACCCCUAAGGCGAGGCUGAAAAGCGUAGUCGAUGGGAAACAGGUUAAUAUUCCUGUACUCGGUGUUACUGCGAAGGGGGGACGGAGAAAGCUAGGUUAUCCGGGCGACGGUUGUCCCGGUUUAAGCGUGAAGGUGGAUGACUUUGGUAAAUCCGGGUCGUCAUUAACACUGAGGCGUGAUGACGAGUCACUACGGUGAUGAAGUAACCGAUGCUACGCUUCCAGGAAAAGCCUCUAAGCUCCAGGUAACAUCAAAUCGUACCCCAAACCGACACAGGUGGUCAGGUAGAGAAUACUCAGGCGCUUGAGAGAACUCGGGUGAAGGAACUAGGCAAAAUGGUGCCGUAACUUCGGGAGAAGGCACGCUGAUGGUAGGUGAAGUGACUUGCUCAUGGAGCUGAAAUCAGUCGAAGAUACCAGCUGGCUGCAACUGUUUAAUAAAAACACAGCACUGUGCAAACACGAAAGUGGACGUAUACGGUGUGACGCCUGCCCGGUGCCGGAAGGUUAAUUGAUGGGGUCAGCCGCAAGGCGAAGCUCUUGAUCGAAGCCCCGGUAAACGGCGGCCGUAACUAUAACGGUCCUAAGGUAGCGAAAUUCCUUGUCGGGUAAGUUCCGACCUGCACGAAUGGCGUAAUGAUGGCCAGGCUGUCUCCACCCGAGACUCAGUGAAAUUGAACUCGCUGUGAAGAUGCAGUGUACCCGCGGCAAGACGGAAAGACCCCGUGAACCUUUACUAUAGCUUGACACUGAACCUUGAGCCUUGAUGUGUAGGAUAGGUGGGAGGCUUUGAAGCGUGGACGCCAGUCUGCGUGGAGCCAACCUUGAAAUACCACCCUUUAAUGUUUGAUGUUCUAACGUGGACCCGUAAUCCGGGUUGCGGACAGUGUCUGGUGGGUAGUUUGACUGGGGCGGUCUCCUCCCAAAGCGUAACGGAGGAGCACGAAGGUUAGCUAAUCCUGGUCGGACAUCAGGAGGUUAGUGCAAAGGCAUAAGCUAGCUUGACUGCGAGAGUGACAGCUCGAGCAGGUGCGAAAGCAGGUCUUAGUGAUCCGGUGGUUCUGAAUGGAAGGGCCAUCGCUCAACGGAUAAAAGGUACUCCGGGGAUAACAGGCUGAUACCGCCCAAGAGUUCAUAUCGACGGCGGUGUUUGGCACCUCGAUGUCGGCUCAUCACAUCCUGGGGCUGAAGUAGGUCCCAAGGGUAUGGCUGUUCGCCAUUUAAAGUGGUACGCGAGCUGGGUUUAGAACGUCGUGAGACAGUUCGGUCCCUAUCUGCCGUGGGCGUUGGAAGAUUGAGAGGGGUUGCUCCUAGUACGAGAGGACCGGAGUGAACGCACCACUGGUGUACGGGUUGUGAUGCCAAUUGCAUUGCCCGGUAGCUAAGUGCGGAAGAGAUAACCGCUGAAAGCAUCUAAGCGGGAAACUUGCCUCGAGAUGAGUCUUCCCUGGGUACUUGAUACCCCUGAAGGGCCGUUGAAGACGACGACGUAGAUAGGCUGGGUGUGUAAGCGUAGCGAUACGUUGAGCUAACCAGUACUAAUGACCCGAGAGGCUUAACCUUACAACACCGAAGGUGUUU
rnacentral:rRNA from 1 species